AGGUAGGGAUACCCGCUGAACUU
rnacentral:rRNA from 3 species